GCAUAUCAAUAAGCGGAGGAAAAGAAACUAACAUGGAUUCCCCUAGUAAUGGCGAAUGAAGAGGGAAAAGCUCAAAUUUUAAAUCUACCUGGUUCCCAGGUCGAGUUGUAAUUUGAAGAAGCUGAUAUCGGUGUGGAGGUCUGGUUCAAGUUCUUUGGAACAAGACAUCAUGGAGGGUGAGAAUCCCGUGCAUGAUCAGACCAAGAUACUUAAUAUUCGCUUUCUAAGAGUCGAGUUGUUUGGGAAUGCAGCUCAAAAUGGGUGGUAGACUUCACCUAAAGCUAAAUAUCAGCGAGAGACCGAUAGCGAACAAGUACUGUGAAGGAAAGAUGAAAAGAACUUUGAAAAGAGAGUUAAAUAGUACGUGAAAUUGUUGAAAGGGAAACGAUUGAAGUCAGUCAUGCUAGUGGAAAUUCAGUUUGGUGGGUUUUGGGUUCAGGAGUUGAGGCAGGGUCAAACCGUUUCUCUUUUGAUCUUGGAAUUUGUCAGAUGCACUUUUUCUUUGGCAGGUCAGCGUCGAUUUCGGAGGUUGUAAAAUACUCGGGGAAAAGUAGCUCUGCUUCGGGAGAGUGUUAUAGACCUUGGGUGAUGCAGCCUGUGGGAUCGAGGAUUGCAGCAAAUGCCUUUGGCAUGUCGCCUGAUCUCUGGACGUCAUCUCGCAUGUAUCAACAUUCUUGGUGCCGGUGAGUAAUGGUGCUCAUAGGUUAGGGCGAUCAAAAAUUUGCUAAGGAUGCUGACGUAAUGGCUUUAAACG
rnacentral:rRNA from 1 species